GGCAUGAGGUUAUGGGCAACAUCCGCCGGCGUCAUAUCAGUCUCGUCGAGCAGUCGUUGGAUUUUGGUGAACAAUGGGUGCUCGGUGAUGUCUAGGUAGUUGUUGGCGAGCACCUUGAAGGCCUCAAACCGGCAGUAGGACAUCUCGAUGUGCUUGUCCAUCCUCCCCCGGCGGAUCAGUCCCGGAUCGAGCUUAUCAACGUGGUUGGUUGUGAGCACGAUGAUCCGCUCACCGCCACAUGCUGACCACAGCCCAUCAAUAAAGUUGAGCAGCCCCGACAGCGUUAUUUUCUUUCUUUCAUAGUACCACUGGAAGUCUGUGCUCAUGCGUUUAUCCUCCAAUUCCAUCGCAUGAAUGUCCUCAAUGACGAUGAUGGAUUGCUCUGUUGUCUGGAGGAAGAGGUUCCGCAGGUCGGUGUUGUUCGUGACGGUCGUUAGGUCGAGGUCAUAGACGUCAUAUUUGAGAAAGUUGGCCAUUGCUGAGAUCGUGCUGGACUUGCCUGUUCCGGACGGACCGUAUAGCAGGUAUCCUCGCUUCCACGCCUUGCCGACCUUGGAGUGGUACUCCUUUCCCUUCUGGAACAUCUUGAGAUCUUCUAUGAGCUCAUCCUUCUUGCCGGGGUCCAUGGCGAGCGUGUCGAACGUCGCCGGGUGCUUCCACGGGACGUGGGUCCAC
rnacentral:sRNA from 1 species